rfam:Ktedonobacter racemifer DSM 44963 Krac_Contig203, whole genome shotgun sequence.
GUCAGCGACCCCACAGGUGAACCUGGGGGCUUGCCCGAAACCGCCUCGUGCGGUCUGGGACAAGCCCCGAUGCUGACCAGCCCCCGUGGUGUUCGCACCGCGGAGCCGUUGUCUGGAGGUGCCUCCGUUCGGACCAUUCGGUGGCUUUUCCAGCCGUAUGCUCUUCAAUCCCGAUGUUAAACAGGUUGAUGGGGUGUCCAAAGCCAGUGUAUCGGGAAGAUGGCCGCCAGACACACAGGGGCGAGGAAAACUGUAC